rnacentral:rRNA from 1 species
UGACUUAGUGGCGGACGGGUGAGUAACGCGUGAGGAACCUGCCUUUCAGUGGGGGACAACAGUUGGAAACGACUGCUAAUACCGCAUAAUGUAUUCUGACCGCAUAAGACCACAGUGUCGCAUGGCACAGGGGUCAAAGGAUUUAUCCGCUGAAAGAUGGACCCGCGUCUGAUUAGCUGGUUGGUGAGGUAACGGCCCACCAAGGCAACGAUCAGUAGCCGGCCUGAGAGGGUGAACGGCCACACUGGAACUGAGACACGGUCCAGACUCC